UUGUAAUCUGUUCAUACAGUACUUAAGUCACGUUUAAAUACUUCAAAUGUGUAAGUGAACACUACUGAUCGGCUGUUAAUAGAUGGAAUGUAAACUUGCAUACGCAUAACGUUUACAUAUCUUAUCAAAUUAAAUGUAUCCUAUAGGGAUUGUUUAGAUUUAUGAUACAAUAAUUAUCUUAGUGGAAGAUUUGAAAAAUACAUUUAUCUUUGAUCGUUCUCAGUUCAUUUUAUGAGAUAAAAACCUUUACAACAAAUUGUGGCUGUUUAUAAAUGAUACGUAGAUCUUAUCUAAACUAUGGAAAGUUAUGUACACACUUUUACUUUGUGUACUAGGUAAAAUUUAAACAACUUUAUUAAGCUUUUCAAUAGCUGCAUUGAUUUCCCUAUAAAUUAGGAAACCGAAACGACUUCCAGGAACAAUGACGAAAAGAUAUAUUUAGUCAUUGUUUAACUUAACACGCAAUAGGCUUUGAUCACAUGACAUUUUGUAAUAUACGGGAAAACAUUUGCCAACAACCUAAUGAUGUUUAAGAUCUUUUUUUAAUUUAAUAUUUGAUUUUCCAAUCAAAGCUGGAUUUGUAUGUUUGGAAAGCUUUUCUUUGUAAUUUCAGAGUUUUUAUUAUACGCAUAUUUUCUUUUCUAAAUUAAAAAAAAAACCUAAAGGAGAAAUAAAUUCAGGUAUUUGUUUAGUUAAAAUCUCUGGCAUUUUGACAUAUAUGUAUUGCUUAAAUGAACAAUUUACAAAGAAGCGGGCUGCCAAGUUAAGUCAACUUCCUGCCAUUUUUUAAGGACACCGAAUUGCAAAAAUCAACAACUGAAUUUGCAACGAGUGUAGGAUGAGUCAGAAAAUAAUUAUCUUUAAGUUACUUCCACUGAAAUUCCCAACUCUGCACAUGCGAGCAAAAUCUGUACAAUUUAAUAUCUUUAUAUAUAUAUACGUAUAUAUAUUACGGACAAAA
rnacentral:lncRNA from 1 species